GAUGAACGCUGGCGGCGUGCUUAACACAUGCAAGUCGAACGGGAUCCCAGGAGCUUGCUCCUGGGUGAGAGUGGCGAACGGGUGAGUAAUGCGUGACCGACCUGCCCCAUACACCGGAAUAGCUCCUGGAAACGGGUGGUAAUGCCGGAUGCUCCAGUUGACCGCAUGGUCCUCUGGGAAAGCUUUUGCGGUAUGGGAUGGGGUCGCGUCCUAUCAGCUUGAUGGCGGGGUAACGGCCCACCAUGGCUUCGACGGGUAGCCGGCCUGAGAGGGCGACCGGCCACAUUGGGACUGAGAUACGGCCCAGACUCCUACGGGAGGCAGCAGUGGGGAAUAUUGCACAAUGGGCGCAAGCCUGAUGCAGCGACGCCGCGUGCGGGAUGACGGCCUUCGGGUUGUAAACCGCUUUUGACUGGGAGCAAGCCCUUCGGGGUGAGUGUACCUUUCGAAUAAGCACCGGCUAAC
rnacentral:rRNA from 1 species